GGAGAGAGGAGGGCGUGAGAAGUGAGGGGUAUAUAUAGGCAGACACACAUGUGGAGAGAGAGGGUAGAUGAGAAGUGAGGGGUAUAUAAUUAGGCAGACACGCAGUGGAGAGAGGGAGGUGAGAGAAGUGAGGGGUAUAUUAUUAGGAGACACACAGUGGAGAGAGUGAGGGUGCAUUGAGAAGUGAGGGGUAUUAUAUUAGGGAGACACCGCAGUGGAGAAGAGGAGGGCGAUGAGAAGUGGAGGGGUGAUAUAUAGGAGACACGCAGUGGAGAAGCGUAGGGUGAGAGUAAGUGAGGGGUAUAUAUAUGGAGACACCAGUGAGAGAGGGACGGGCGAGGAGAAGUGAGGGU
rnacentral:lncRNA from 1 species